rnacentral:rRNA from 1 species
CAGUCGCCGCGGGAAUACGAAGGGGGCUAGCGUUGUUCGGAUUUACUGGGCGUAAAGGGCGCGUAGGCGGGCGAAUAAGUCAGGGGUGAAAUCCCAAGGCUCAACCUUGGAACUGCCUUUGAUACUGUUUGUCUUGAGUUCGAGAGAGGUAAGUGGAACUGCGAGUGUAGAGGUGAAAUUCGUAGAUAUUCGCAAGAACACCAGUGGCGAAGGCGGCUUACUGGCUCGAAACUGACGCUGAGGCGCGAAAGCGUGGGGAGCAAACAGGAUUAGAUACCCCGGUAGUCCCUGUCUCUUAUAC